rnacentral:rRNA from 1 species
AGUCAACGCUGGCGGCGUGCCUCAGACAUGCAAGUCGAACGCGAAAGUUUCCUUCGGGAAGCGAGUAGAGUGGCGUCCGGGUGAGUAACACGUAGGUAAUCUACCUUUGGGUGGGGAAUAACAACCGGAAACGGUUGCUAAUACCGCAUAAUGCAGCGGCACCACAUGGUGACAGUUGUUAAAGCGGGGGAUCGCAAGACCUCGCGCCUAAAGAGGAGCCUGCGGCGGAUUAGCUAGUGGUAAGGUAACGGCUUACCAAGGCAACGAUCCGUAGCCGGCCUGAGAGGGCGGUCGGCCACACUGACACUGAAAUACGGGUCAGACUCCUACGGGAGGCAGCAGUC